UACGUAGGGGGCAAGCGUUAUCCGGAUUUACUGGGUGUAAAGGGAGUGUAGGUGGCAUAGCAAGUCAGAUGUGAAAACCCAAGGCUUAACCUUGGGACUGCAUUUGAAACUGUUAAGCUAGAGUGCAGGAGAGGCAAGUGGAAUUCCUAGUGUAGCGGUGAAAUGCGUAGAUAUUAGGAAGAACACCAGUGGCGAAGGCGGCUUGCUGGACUGUAACUGACACUGAGGCUCGAAAGCGUGGGGAGCAAAC
rnacentral:rRNA from 1 species